rnacentral:lncRNA from 1 species
GUCUGACUAACUGUUGCUGCUGUUGAAAGAAGAGUUCCGUCCACUAGAUUAUACGUCACACCAACAGCAUCGCCUGAAAUUCCCAGACCGCCAUCUGCUGACUGGAGUGGGUAACGCACAAUACUAGGAGAGAGGGGUACCCCUACACAGAACUGAACUGGAUCUAAGAUGGCGGACAGAAAUACUAGGAGAGAGGCGUACCCCUACACUGAACUGAACUGGAUCUAAGAUGGCGGACAGAAAUACUAGGAGAGAGGCGUACCCCUACACUGAACUGGAUCUAAGAUGGCGGACAGAAAUACUAGGAGAGAGGGAUACCCCUACACAGAACUGAACUGGAUCAAAGAUGGCGGACAGAAAUACUAGGAUGGAAGCAAAUGGAACAGCACCCUCUUUGAUGAAGUAGGAGGUGAAGAUCUCCUGCACACGGAUUGGCUCUCUUGCUGCGUUGUUGGACCCCAUCCUUGAAACUUCCUGCAGAGCAGCAGAGUCCUCCUCUGGGACACGGCGGCGAGCUGCAGAUCCCCUCCUGGUCCUCGUGUCCAUCCUCAUGAAGUUACGCAGGACACAGGUAGCCUUCACACACCUGAAUUCCUCCAGGAGGCUGUCCUAGAUGACCCUGGUCACCCAACCUUGCAGUGCCCUACACGGUAACUGUAGGCAAUCGUUUUGAAGGAAUCUCCAGUUACAAGGUCUCUG